rnacentral:rRNA from 1 species
AGUUCGUGGAGUAAUCUGUCAGGUUAAUUCCGAUAACGAACGAGACCUUAUCUUACUAAUUGGAGAAACUGUACCAACAGUUAUCUUACAUUAGAAGGACUCUAUGUGUUUAAUAUAAGGAAGUUUGAGGCAAUAACAGGU